AGCGCAGACGGUUUAUUAAGUCUGAUGUGAAAGCCCGGAGCUCAACUCCGGAAUGGCAUUGGAAACUGGUUAACUUGAGUGCAGUAGAGGUAAGUGGAACUCCAUGUGUAGCGGUGGAAUGCGUAGAUAUAUGGAGAACACCAGUGGCGAAGGCGGCUUACUGGACUGCAACUGACGUUGAGGCUCGAAAGUGUGGGUAGCAAACA
rnacentral:rRNA from 1 species